rnacentral:tRNA from 1 species
GGGCCCGUGGUCUAGCGGUUAUGACGGCGGUCUCACACACCGCAGAUCCUGGGUUCGAAUCCCAGCGGGCCCA